GAUGAACGCUGGCGGCGUGCCUAAUACAUGCAAGUCGAGCGAACAGAUAAGGAGCUUGCGCCUUUGACGUUAGCGGCGGACGGGUGAGUAACACGUGGGUAACCUACCUAUAAGACUGGGAUAACUUCGGGAAACCGGAGCUAAUACCGGAUAACAUUUGGAACCGCAGGGUUCUAAAGUGAAAGAGGGUUUUGCUAUCAGUAAUAGAUGGACCCGCGCCGUAUUAGCUAGUUGGUAAGGUAACGGCUUACCAAGGCAACGAUCCGUAGCCGACCUGAGAGGGUGAUCGGCCACACUGGAACUGAGACACGGUCCAGACUCCUACGGGAGGCAGCAGUAGGGAAUCUUCCGCAAUGGGCGAAAGCCUGACGGAGCAACGCCGCGUGAGUGAUGAAGGGUUUCGGCUCGUAAAACUCUGUUAUUAGGGAAGAACAAACGUGUAAGUAACUGUGCACGUCUUGACGGUACCUAAUCAGAAAGCCCCGGCUAACUACGUG
rnacentral:rRNA from 1 species